GAAAAUCAGAGCCUCAAAACCAGGAGACAUCUUGGCCCGUGUGGUAGGAUGAGUUACGAGUUCCUUUUCCGAAGGUCUCCAGCUGCACGUCCCCAUUGCGUGUGUGGAAAGCUGCAGUGGUGGGAGUUGCUGUGUGCCUCAUCCCUCUGCUCUGUCUUUAUAUGAAGAAUCCCAUAUAAUCGGUUCUGGAAAUCUGAUGAGGAGCUGACUGUGGCCCUCUCUGUAUGAGGGCCACCCGAAUCACAGUGAUGGGAAGGGGAUGUGCCAACAAAUGCAAAACAUAUGAGGACUAAUUCCAUGCUAGUCACACACCAAAAGAAAAGUACUGUACUGUACAAGCCACUGAGCUGCUCCAAGUGAAUAUCUUUCAGGUGUACAAACCAAACUGUGUUUAGAUUCUUCUGAAAAUCCAAACUUCAGCUGGAAGGAAAAGCUCACUGUGGUUCACAGAAGGUCACCACAGGCAGAAAUAGAAGACAAUAGAGUGAGCCUGAGAGUCUUGUUCCUGAGUCCUUAACAAGAGUUGUCUAAGAAGUGAUGGUUUAUCAUAUGUUCUAGGUAUAUAUCGGAAGAUACAGUAAGCUUCUGACACUGUUUUGUAAAUGCUGUUGUUAAUCAUCAUUUUUGCGUGUCUGUCAGCUUGGUAAACUUAUUCUCACAUUUAGGAGCAAUAGAUUGCAUGUGUACAGAGAGAGGAAAAUGAUUGUGGCAGUGUCUUCUUGCAAAGCACUAAAAUAUGAUGAU
rnacentral:lncRNA from 7 species